AAAUCAGUUAUUAGUGACAUUACAUAGUUAAAUUAAUAUUUUUGCAGAGAUGCUAUUUUAGUAAAACGUGAAUUAACCAAAAAAAAAAAAAAAAAAUAAAGUAGUUAAUGUGCAAAUGUACUGUCUUAAAUAACUGUCUAAUCUCUUUACAGGUCUCAGGGAAAAGUCUCUUUGUCCAGACAGCAUUGUGUGUGUGGUCCAGUCUGGAGGGGUGAAAGAGUGGCAGUCCGCCCUUCUGCUGCCCGUUUACUAUGCCAAGACUCUCUCUCUCUUCUCGUUCUCUCUGUGUGUGUGUGUGUGUGUGUGUGUGUGUGUGUGUGUGUGUGUGUGUGUGUGUGUGUGUGUGUGUGUGUGUGUGUGACGCAUUUAACACCAGUCUUCCCUCACGCUCCUCAGAGCGCAGAUCAUCAGCGUGAGAUGCAAUCAUCAGCUCUGCUUUCUUUCGACAUCCGGAACAAGGCUAAGACGGACAUUGGGUGUGUGAACAUUGAAUUGGCAGAAAACAGGUAUAUUGUCCACGUGUCAUCUGGACACUUAAUGUUGUGUGGCACAGGUGUUGUGGUUUAAGCAUGUGUGCUGUGUGCUGUAUCCAGUCAGGAUUGACUUUGAGCCAUCAGGAUGCUGUCGGUUGUGGUCUGUCUACAGCUGUUACUGGCCCUCGCUUUUAUGGUGAGUGAAAUAUUGCAGUAGUCUAUAACAGCAGUCAAUAAAUUACACUUACAUCAUCAUGUAGGAAAUCUGAAACAGAGACAUGUAACUGUUAAGCAAAACAUCCCAGCACAUGGUGUGAGAGGACAAACCUCAUCUGCUUUAAAAUUGAUGUCUAAAAGCUGGCCACAUUUCAUAUACUCAGAAACAUAGUACAGAAAUACUGAACUGUUUGUUCAGGGACAUAUGUAAUAUUAAAAUACAGCAGUGGCCCCUAAAAUAUUUGAGGACAUUUGAGCACUUAAGUCACACUUAAAGUCGCAAUGAAACUGAUUUUUUCUUCUAUAUUAUGAUGUACAUCUGCCUGUGGGGGGCGGGACUUUCUAUGCAUCAGUUGUUGAUUGGAUGUUGAGAUGUGGGUGUGGCUCUCAGUUUAAUCUCAUUAGAUGAAUGGAGAUAUCCUGUCUGCAUAGUUUAAAAAAAAAAAUGAAACAUGUAUAUGGAUGAAUUGCUGUCAACACACAAGAAAAUGUGUUAAGAAAAUAGAUUAGAAAAUUGAAUUUUUAUUUCAUGGCAACUUUGUAUUAGUGCUGCAUUCAGAAAAUCCUAUACAUUGACUUUCCGGUUAAGUGUUUGGAUGUUUCCAAAUAUCUUCAAGUUUGAUCUGCACUAAAGUGCUCCACUUAUCUCAAUGUUUUAAUUUUUUUUUCCCACAUCACACAGGUGUUUUAGCAGAGCAACUACAGUUGUACUUCAUCACUUUAACAACAUAAUCACACAGCUACUUUCCAAAUCAAUGACACACAUGAAAAAUUAUUAUUUAAUUGAG
rnacentral:lncRNA from 1 species